UCCUACGGGAGGCAGCAGUGGGGGAUAUUGCACAAUGGAGGAAACUCUGAUGCAGCAACGCCGCGUGAGGGAAGAAGGUUUUCGGAUUGUAAACCUCUGUUUUUAGUGAAGAAACAAAUGACGGUAGCUAAAGAGGAAGCCACGGCUAACUACGUGCCAGCAGCCGCGGUAAUACGUAGGUGGCAAGCGUUGUCCGGAAUUACUGGGUGUAAAGGGUGCGCAGGCGGGAUUGCAAGUUGGAUGUGAAAUACCGGGGCUUAACCCCGGAGCUGCAUCCAAAACUGUAGUUCUUGAGUGGAGUAGAGGUAAGCGGAAUUCCGAGUGUAGCGGUGAAAUGCGUAGAUAUUCGGAGGAACACCAGUGGCGAAGGCGGCUUACUGGGCUCUAACUGACGCUGAGGCACGAAAGCAUGGGUAGCAAACAGGAUUAGAUACCCUGGUAGUCC
rnacentral:rRNA from 1 species